rnacentral:rRNA from 1 species
GGGUAACGGGGUGUUAGGGCACGACACCGGAGAGGGAGCCUGAGAAACGGCUACCACAUCCAAGGAUGGCAGCAGGCGCGCAAAUUACCCAAUCCCGACACGGGGAGGUAGUGACAAUAAAUAACAAUACGGGGUUCUUUAGGAUCUCGUAAUUGGAAUGAGUACAAUUUAAAUCUCUUAACGAGGAACAAUUGGAGGGCAAGUCUGGUGCCAGCAGCCGCGGUAAUUCCAGCUCCAAUAGCGUAUAUCAAAGUUGUUGCAGUUAAAAAGCUCGUAGUUGAAUUUCGGGGUUAGUAGGUUGGUCAUGCCUCUGGUAUGUACUGGUCUCACUGAUUCCUCCUUCCUGAUGAACCUUAAUGCCAUUAAUUUGGUGUUUUGGGGAAUUUGGACUGUUACUUUGAAAAAAUUAGAGUGUUUAAAGCAAGCUAACGCUUGAAUACAUUAGCAUGGAAUAAUGAAAUAGGACGUUCGAUCCUAUUUUGUUGGUUUCUAGGAUUGACGUAAUGAUUAAUAGGGAUAGUUGGGGGCAUUAGUAUUCAAUUGUCAGAGGUGAAAUUCUUGGAUUUAUUGAAGACUAACUACUGCGAAAGCAUUUGCCAAGGAUGUUUUCAUUAAUCAAGAACGAAAGUUAGGGGAUCGAAGACGAUCAGAUACC